AGUCGAAGUGGCAGCGUCCUUGCUGGCCGGGAGGAAGCUUGGGGCGCCAGCAGCAAGGGGAAGCGGCUCCGGGAGCGCCCGAAUAGUCCCCCUCGGCGCUGGCGGACUCAGAGCGAGGCAUCGCAGCUCCCGGCUUGGGUGUGGACUGCACAUUGAAGCCCACAGAAUUAGCUAAGCAGACCAGGAACCCAGUUGGAAAAUUACAAGUGCCCUGGAUCUACAAAGCAGCUUUCUCACAGCAUGGUGGCUGGAUUCCAAGGGCAAGUCUCCCAAGAGAACCAGGCGGAAGUUAUGUUGCAUUUUAUUCAUUGGUCUUGGAAGUCACAUAACAUCACUUCACUGUAGUCAAAGUCUGUCCAGAUUCAAGGAGAGGAAACAUGCACCCCUUCUUUUGGUGGAAAGAUGUCAAUGUCUCCUUAAAGGAAAAGCAUAAAGUCUUCACAGCAUCUUUCCCAGGAACAGAUUCCAUCUCAAGAAACCACUUUCUUUGCUCAUCCAUACAAGCAACUCCUCAUCUGUUAAAAUUUUGUCAUGAGAUUGUAGCAGUUUAGCCUCAUUUACAGGCUCCACUUCAAAUUCUAGUUCUCUUGCUAUUUCUACUACAUCUACAGUUAGUUCCUCCACUGAAGUCUUGAACCUCUCAAAGUCAUCUAUGAGGGUUGGAAUCAACUUCUUCCAAACUCAUGUUAAUGUUGAUAUUUUGACCUCAUCUGAUGAAUCACAAAUGUUCUUAUUGGCAUCUAGAAUGGUGAACACUUUCCAAAAGCUUUUCAAUUUCUUUGCUUAGAUCCAUCAAGGAAUCACUAUCUAUGGCAAUUAUAGCCCUGUGUGAUGUAUUUCUUAAAUAAUAAAACUUGAAAGUUGAAA